UGUGGCACAUGGAAAUUCCCAGGCUAGGGAUUGAAUCUGAGCUACAACUGCCAGCCACAGGCACAGCAACACCAGAUUCAAGCCACAUUUGCAACCUAUACCAUAGGUCAGAGCAAAGCCGGAUCCCCAAUCCAAUAAGUGAAGCUAUGAAUUGAACCCUCAUCCUCAUGGAUACUAGUGGGUUCAUAACCUGCUGAGCCACAGCAGGAACUCCUCAACUACUCUUUGAAUAGCAGCUGAUGUAGAAUCACUCAGUAGAUUGCAGCUAUUAUUACUGAAAUGUAGUCCAAAAACAGUGAGCCAGGACUGGAGAGAAGUAAGAUUCUGAGCAAGGCAUGCUACUUGUCAUUAUGAUGGUCUUCUAGCUGACCUCCUAGGAACUCAUAAUAAACUCUGAGGAUCGGAAUCUACAAAAAUAAAUGAAAAUGGAAGCCAAAUGAAUCAUUUUGUGAUAAGAUUUAGGAGAAAGUUGCAAGGAAAAAAGGGUUCCUACUUGGUAGAUGAUGACACUGAUCUCAACAUUAGUCAACAGGUUCCCCUUCGGUACUGUCAUUGACUCAAAUCAACAAUAGUGCCUUGAGGUGAAAACAGGUGACACGUGUCUAUUUACCAUUGGUAGCAAAGGAGACAUGACCCUAACAAAGACAGAAGUCGAAAAUGUAAGAUAAAGCUCAGGAGAAAUUUCCCAAAAUUCUCAAAGUAGAAAUUCAGAAGGUCUCUGCCUGAUGCUGGGGACAGUGCUACAGAGAAAUAAUGUUUUGUGGCCCUUAUUUCCAAUCCAUGUUUUAGUUGGUGAGAAUAAUGAUGAUUUCCUAUAAAAAUCCAGAAUCAACUCAUUCAACAGAUAUUUAUGGAAAAGCUACAAUGUGCCAGUGGAGGCCAGAUAGAUUAUAUCAUCGUAACAAAGUGCCCCCAAGUCUCACUGAUUUACAACAACAAAGGUCAUUCAUCAUUUAUGCUCUAGGUCUCAUGUGGUCCACAAUGGCUGUGCUCUGCUACCAUCUUCACUUAGGAGACCAUGGAGGAGCCACUGGAGGAGCUUCCAUGAAGUAUACUGAUGGUCUUCUGAUAAAAAAGAGAAAGGGUGAAGCACCAGCUGAACAAUCAAGCACUUGUUUGCUCAAGUGCUACAUGUCAGCUUCUCCCACCACCUUCUGAGUUCAACAGAAUGGGAUACAUAGCCUCUAAAGAGUGGGGCACUAGGGGAGGGGUGGUGGACAUGAAUUUUCAGCCAAAGACAACACAAUCUACCUGCCAUGGUAUCUAUCCUCACUGGUUUUAGUCUAGUAGGAUUUCAUUUAGUCAUAUUAGUAUUAAACAGGAUACUAAAUGGAGUAAAUAUUCAAACGUCAGUGAAAGCACAAAUGCGAUAAUACAAAGGCAGUGUGUUUUUAAGUUUUAAUUGCUUGAGGCUCUUUGGAAUUGAAGAUCAUAUGAGUUCAGGGUCCUAGGAUUCAGAAAUGAUUCCAGAUUCGUUCAUCAUUCCCCAAAGGAAAAGCAAUAAUAAGUAGGAUACCAGACAUUUAUGCAAUCUCUCUGAGAUCAUAAAGGUUGACUCAGGAAAGUUUUCAAAAGGCAGAAAUAUUUAUAAUUUCUUUGCAGUAGUUUUAUUCAGUAAAUACAGCAUCAUUCAUGGCCUGGAGACAUACCACCUUGGGUUGCAGUCCUGGCAGGUAUCAUAGAUGCUGCAAGGUUGGGCAGGUUAAAUUCUUACUGGGAAGACUUUUUUGGAACACCCAAGGAUUAUGAAAUGUAUUUCUGUCUUUCAGAUGAGAUUUUAUUCUGAGUUUUUCUUGUUCAGUGACCCUUCCUAACUACACAUAGGAUACUUUUCAUUCAUUUGCCUUAGCCAAUUUUAUUGUCCACAAUCCCAGAUUUUUGUAACUGAAUUUGUCUUGCCCUUUACUGAAUUUAAAUAGAUGGGAUGGUCUCUUUUUAGACUUCUGCAACUAUUUGUAGACCUUUGCCUUCACAUGUUUGAAAUAAAUGUGAGACAUUAAUUUUAGUCCGACAACACUGAGCCCAAUUCACUUGGGAAAAUGCAUUUCAAUGUGCAAUUUAUCAUUCAGGAACUGUCCACUAGUUUGUUACUCCCUGAGAGUAAAUUAGGCGUUUUUGAAAGGUGCAUUAAACUCUUCCUGGCUACUAGGCACCAUUUAGGGCUGUGGGGCAAUAAUUUACUUAAUGGUACCUUGGUGACCUCAAAAAGUUUAUGUUGUUUUGAAAGUUCUUAAUUUUCUUCCACAAAAUAAUUUAUGCACUAGGAGGUUAGAUAUGCUUACAAAUAUGUUUCCAGACAGGCUACAACAACUGAAUAGAAUACAUAAGCUAACAUUGUCAUGCUGAUGUAUAAAUGAAGUCUUUUAUAAAUGUGUUAUCUAUCCUAUCCACACAAUAGAUGGAUAUCUCACAAACAAUUAUUUCUUUGGGUUUCUUUUUUUUUACUUACAAGCCUGUCUUACAUUUUAUUGUUACUAGUAAUGCUUCAUAGCUAUAAGGAAUUCCAGAUCCAUAUCACUGCAUUUUUCCAGAGCACAAAAUACAUUUAGCCAAAGUUAGGAUAAAGUGCCAAAUAUCCUCAGAGUUCUGACACAACUUACAUCCUGUUUCUUCCUUGAUUCUCAGCAGAGCUUCAUCCAUAUUAAAUAAAUUAAUUGUUACAUUGUAAUCCCUACCACUUCAGUCACUCAUUUCCUAAAGUGCCUCAAAUUGAGCUUGACCCACCAAGUCAGGUAAAAGUGAUAUGCUUUAGAUUUUGCUUUCACUCAGGGGAAAUAAUGGCUGAUAAAUGAAAUAUGGCAUUCCUCAAUUCUAAGGCGAAAAGAUUUUCACAUUUUAAUGUUUCUAAAAUGUAGAUGUAUUUUAUGAUUAUUGUGUUUAAUAAUAAUUUUAUUACCUAAGUUUAUUUGGUAGCAUUUUUCUCUCUUAUUGUCAUAAAAUGAUGGUCCCUCAUAAUUGAUGGAAUAUUAUAUUUUUGAAAUAUAGUAGGGCAGUUUCCUUUAGAAAUUUGAAUUUAUAAAGACCUGGAUGAAAAUAGUUUUAAGAUGAUGAAAAUAUUGCCAUUAAGAAGAGCAGAAACUGGUAACAGGCUGAUACCCAUUUCAGCUAACACUGUCCCUCUGAAGAUGAAUUUAUCCCUACUACUUAGAUAUUUGAAAAUAUUUGAAGGGGGUAGAAACUGAACAUUAUAUGGAAGUAAAAACCAGUGUAAAAUUUUAAAGGAAUAUAUUUAUGCCAUAAUAAAUCAGUUGAAGUAAUAACUUGCCAGUGAAGCAGAGUUUGGAGAGAAGCACUGACCCAACAAAGCAUGUUUACCACGAAUAUAUUUCAUUUCGUCAGAAGACAACUGUAAAGGAAUGUCUUUUUCACAAUUACUCUACUCACAUCAUCUCAAUUGCAUCUACUAUGGACCUUUUUGGAUGGAACAUAGAGUUCCUAUUGUCCAUAACAAUAAAGAAAGGAGUGAGGGUUAGAGGCAUAGGAAACAAGAAAAAAGAGGGGAAAGGAGGAAGGAAGGAAAGAAGAAAAUUAGAAAUAAAAGGAAGAAAUUUUACAAUUAAGAUAUGUAAUUCUUGAAAUUGAUGUUACCCUGAAUUUAAAAAGAUAUUUGUCUAUUUAUGCUACACAUUUUUAUCAACAGAUAACAAAAAAUAGAACAAAUGGACUUCAUUCUCUUAGUAAAAUGUGAUGCCUAUUAGACUUUGCUGGCUGCAAUAUCCCAAAGUACCAACAUACAACUGGGGAAUCCCACUUCUGAUACACAAAAUGUCAAAAUGAGUACUCAAUAUGGAGCUCCUUGUAUAGUGCACUUUUCAGUAGAGAUAUUAUUCAGAUUUAAACAAAUAUCUAUGUCAUUAUUAAAUUUUCAAAUGGAAUACAGGUAGUGGAAUGCCAUUUGAAUUUAAGUCCUGGAGUACAACAAAUCUGCAAACUAUUAUAUGAUAGGACUUUUUUACAUGUCUAUAUACCUGUGCAGAAUAAACUCAAUUUUCUUUGUGAAGGGAGGGGUUAGGAUAUACAUGACAAUAGUGGAGGCUCUGAGGCCUCUGUUCUGCUCUAGCAAACAUCACAACACAGCUUCACACUGAAGUUGAGUCUAUGAAUGUAUUCCAACUCUGAAAACAAUUAAUGUGUAUAUAUCUAAAAGUUCUGCCUUUGCCUGAAAUUACUCUUCAGAGUAUCUUAUUUUUAUAAUAUUUAAAUAGUAAAAAUAAGUAACAUGAUUAAGAAAGUCCCAACAUUAUUGGAAAUUCGUGGAAAUCAUGUAACAUUUUUUCUUAGGAUUCACUUCUAUUGACACUAUUAAUCUAUCAGUACCUUGUGAGAAUGACCAGGGUCUGGUGGCAGGCAGCAAAAACAUUAAUUUUGAAAAAACAUGACAUUCAAAAUCACAUUUGUACUUACUCCCUUUCAAACAUCCAGCAAAUUGCAUUAUGUUCAUAAAAUAAAUGAUAAUAGUGUUUACUUUUAUAGUUUUUGAUAAGAUUAAAUGAGCUCAUGUAUGUAAAGCUUCUGGAACAUCAAGUGUGUUCAAUCAUUGGUUACUUAAAAUAAGUACCAUAGUAACUGAAGAGUAGUACUAGCUUACUUUUUAGUUCUCUGUGGCUAGAAUCUACUUGAUGGUUUUCUUCUAAUUUCUCCAUAAGUUUUACGAGCAUUCAGUAAUGCAACUAAAUAAGUAUUUAUGGAGUAAUAUAAAUCUAGAGAGGAUGGACAUGAUAAAGGGUCUCCCAAAGAAGUGCACAUAGGGCAUGUUGACAUGUCAGUAGAUAUUCACACAAGAAGAACCCUGUACCUUUAUUUUGCUGCCUUAGCAAGCACUGUGGGACUCAUGACAAAACUGUGGUGGGAAAGAUAAAUGAUAGCAGGCAUCAUAAAACCACUGAUGAGAAACAUCCAGAAAGAGGAGCUUGAAAAUACUACCUAAAAUACAG
rnacentral:lncRNA from 1 species